GCACAGCGCGCUGAAGCGUUAUGACUCUGACUGUGGAAGGUCCAGGAGUCCACGAGCACUGGAGAUCGCGUGAUAGAGACUAUGUCUGUGUCCUUUCUGGCGGGCAUCUAAGGGCUCCAGCAAUACUGAAUCGACUGCAAAUCGCACAUUGA
rnacentral:lncRNA from 1 species